AGUGAACGCUGGCGGCAGGCCUAACACACGCAAGUCGAGCGCCCGUAGCAAUACGGGAGCGGCAGACGGGAGAGUAACACGUGGGAACGUGCCCUUCAGUUCGGAACAACCCGGGGAAACUUGGGCUAAUACCGGAUACGUCCGUAAGGAGAAAGAUUUAUCGCUGAAGGAUCGGCCCGCGUCUGAUUAGCUUGUUGGUGAGGUAACGGCUCACCAAGGCGACGAUCAGUAGCUGGUCUGAGAGGAUGAUCAGCCUCACUGGGACUGAGACACGGCCCAGACUCCUACGAGAGGCAGCAGUGGGGAAUAUUGGACAAUGGGCGCAAGCCUGAUCCAGCCAUGCCGCGUGGGUGAUGAAGGCCCUAGGGUUGUAAAGCCCUUUCGGCGGGGAAGAUAAUGACGGUACCCGCAGAAGAAGCCCCGGCUAACUUCGUGCCAGCCGCCGCAGUAA
rnacentral:rRNA from 1 species